GACGAACGCUGGCGGCGUGCCUAAUACAUGCAAGUCGAGCGAAUCUUGAGGUGCUUGCACCUCUUGAUUAGCGGCGGACGGGUGAGUAACACGUGGGCAACCUGCCUGUAAGACUGGGAUAACUUCGGGAAACCGGAGCUAAUACCGGAUAAUUCUUUCCCUCUCAUGAGGGAAAGCUGAAAGACGGUUUCGGCUGUCACUUACAGAUGGGCCCGCGGCGGAUUAGCUAGUUGGUGAGGUAACGGCUCACCAAGGCGACGAUGCGUAGCCGACCUGAGAGGGUGAUCGGCCACACUGGGACUGAGACACGGCCCAGACUCCUACGGGAGGCAGCAGUAGGGAAUCUUCCGCAAUGGACGAAAGUCUGACGGAGCAACGCCGCGUGAGCGAUGAAGGCCUUCGGGUCGUAAAGCUCUGUUGUUAGGGAAGAACAAGUAUCGGAGUAACUGCCGGUACCUUGACGGUACCUAACCAGAAAGCCACGGCUAACUACGUGCCAGCCGCCGCCGUAAUAC
rnacentral:rRNA from 1 species